rnacentral:rRNA from 1 species
UACGGGGGGAGCAAGCGUUGUUCGGAAUUACUGGGCGUAAAGGGCGCGUAGGCGGUUGCCUAAGUCGGACGUGAAAUCCCCAAGCUUAACUUGGGAACUGCAUCUGAUACUGGGUGACUUGAGUUCGGGAGAGGAAUGUGGAAUUCCAGGUGUAGCGGUGAAAUGCGUAGAUAUCUGGAGGAACACCGGUGGCGAAGGCGGCAUUCUGGACCGAAACUGACGCUGAGGAGCGAAAGCAUGGGGAGCGAACAGG